UGAAAUAUGUCCCUAAAAUCAUUAAAAUACCGAAUAUCGGGAGGUACCGUUAUAUGGGGGCUCUACGAAGACGUGGACCUGCACAGACAAUUUUUGUCUUAGGCUGUAGUAUCCAUUUCGAACUUUAAAUACCAAAUUUGAAACUAUUCCGGUGAAUAAUGUCGCUAAAAUCAUCAAAAUACUGAAUAUCGGGAGGUACCGUUAUAUGGGGGCUAUACCAAUACGUGGACCUUCAUUGUCCAUUUUCAAUACCAAAAGUCCUGCAGACAUAACAUACAUUAGAGCAAAAUUUUAUCAAUCUACUUCAAUUCGUUCGGAACCUAGAGUGAUUUCCACAGACGGAUAGACGGACGGACAUCGCUAAACCGAACUUCCUUUACAAUAUAUAUAACUGUCGGCAAGUCGACUGUUUUAAUUUCAUACAAAACUUUUUGUUAUUUCAUACCAAAAAUAAAUUAUGACCACCACCAUAAUCCAUACUGUAUCUCAAUUUUCUUUUCAUUUAAAUUUCAUUCGGAAUUAGCAUCCCGAACUUUGUGAUGGAUUUUCCUUAACAUAAUACGAAACAAACACACACUAAAUGCAGCAGAGUGAUAAGAGACCCAAGUAAAUCGCUAACAAAGACUUCGGCUUUGGAGUGCAAAACUUUAAAGAUAUCCACAAAAAAAAAAAUUGCACACGGUACACAUAACUGAAGAAGAUUGAUCGAUUUUCCUUUGCUAAAAUCUCUUAAUGAGUGCAAUUGCACACGGCACUAUUCGAAAGUGUGGUAAUACGCAAUUGCUAUAUAAGGAGCGCAUGUUGCAACUGCAACAGAUAUCAAAAAGUUAGAAGUUUUAAAACCCAAGUUUUUUUUUUAAUAAAAAAUCUGAAAAUACAUCAACAACAAAAUGCCUUGCAAAGGAUGUGGUAACGAUUGCAAAUGUACUGCCCAAAAGUGCUGUGACAAGUGUUCCUGUGACCAUAACUGCAAUUGCCCCUGCAAGACUGCCGCUAAGCAAUAAUGAAUGCCUCGGAGUGCACAUUUGAAAUAUCUUGACUGUAUGUCGUCACUUAAAUGAUUUGAAAUAAAGAUUAAAUAGCAAUUUAA